rnacentral:rRNA from 1 species
AUUGAACGCUGGCGGCAGGCCUAACACAUGCAAGUCGAGUGGAUGACGGGAGCUUGCUCCUUGAUUCAGCGGCGGACGGGUGAGUAAUGCCUAGGAAUCUGCCUGGUAGUGGGGGACAACGUUUCGAAAGGAACGCUAAUACCGCAUACGUCCUACGGGAGAAAGCAGGGGACCUUCGGGCCUCGCGCUAUCAGAUGAGCCUAGGUCGGAUUAGCUAGUAGGUGAGGUAAUGGCUCACCUAGGCGACGAUCCGUAACUGGUCUGAGAGGAUGAUCAGUCACACUGGAACGGAGACACGGUCCAGACUCCUACGGGAGGCAGCAGUGGGGAAUAUUGGACAAUGGGCGAAAGCCUGAUCCAGCCAUGCCGCGUGUGUGAAGAAGGUCUUCGGAUUGUAAAGCACUUUAAGUUGGGAGGAAGGGCAGUAAGUUAAUACCUUGCUGUUUUGACGUUACCAACAGAAUAAGCACCGGCUAACUUCGUGCCAGCCGCCGCCGUAAGAC